rnacentral:lncRNA from 1 species
GAGGGGAGCCGGGCAGACGCCCGCCCCCUCACAAAGCCUGAGGAGGCUGCGGGGACCGGGUGGGGGGCUGGAAAGGGCGUGAGGGGUGGAGGGGCCCUCGGGUGCUGCCACCUUCCCGGGAGCGGCGAGGGCAUGGGGGCCAAGCCGACUCUCAGGUCUGGACUUCCUUCAGGGUGCACAAAACCCGAGGGAGCGGGCCGAGACGUGGUCCCCGGGAGGCGGCUGUCCCCCCUCGGGGGGCCGCGCAGGAGGGCAGAGGCCGGAGGGAAGGGGCCGAGCCAACUGGCCGAGUCUGACACGUCGAAGGAGAAGGAGCUCUCUUCUCUCCGACCCUCGGCCCUCCGCACCUGAGGAGCCGCGCUCUGUUGCCAUUCCAGGCUUGUGUGGGAGAAGACUGCUGUGCGCCUGUGUCUGUCCGCCCGGGCGACUCCAGCCCUCGGUUAAUGAAAGCUUGCAUGGUCAUUUUUAUGCUCCUGAACUACCAUGCAAUGUGAGGACUGCCUGUAUGUUGAUAAAACAAGAAGAAAUUCAAAAUCAUAGAACUGUGCUAAUGCUUUGGCAGUAUCACCGGCCAGAUUUAUUUGUCUGCUGCUGCUUUAAAUGCCUUGCCAGCACCCUGAGCACAUCCUUGAUUUAAUGAACUUAUUUGUACAGCUCAAAUUUACAAGAUUGGCCGUGCCCCUUCCUGUGCGCCUCUUCCUGAUCAACAUUUGACUGUUUUUCUAACAUCCCAGUUGAUGCCAUCCCAGUUUCCUCAGAGACUGUGGGAUCAGUUUUCCCCUGAGAAAAGGAACGUGGAUGGCUGUGAGUCCCUUUGAAGGCCCCAGGGGAAAAAAUGCACGUGUCAAGGAUGCUGACUGCUGAUUUUCUUACCAGGGCUCUUUACAGUAAAUCCUUGCCAUCAGUAAGCCCAGAAAACGAACCUUUUUGGUAGAGGAAUCAGGAAAAUUAUGUAUGUGCAGGUGCUAGGGAGUGGUUUCUGUUCUAGAAGGGCCUCAGCGUUUCCUCCCACGGGCCUCCUUGGGUGUGCAAGCUGCAUAUGUAUUUAUAACUCUGCAGUGAAAAAACUGAACUUUAUUAGCAGAGAUAACUGUCAUAAUUCAAGCAACUGCACUCUGUAUAGCAACCAGAGACUCUAGGCAGCAGGAUAAUGUAUGUUCUGUCAAACCGUGUGCAAGUAUAGGUGCCUUAUGAGUCACUAACUGGGCACAAACAAGGAAGAGAAAGCUCGGCUCCUAUGGGGGGCCCUGGGGGGCCUGCAGAAUGUGUCCAAAUGCUUCUUCCAGAGAGCUGGCUUGGCCUUGAGGUCAGUGAAGUCAUCGUGAAUUUUUGCAUCCUAGUAGCAGCCUGCUCCAGCAUUCUUGCCUGGUCCGGAAAAUUCCACGGCCUGGGCAGCAUGGUGGGCUACCAUCUACGGGGUCACAGAGAGUUGACAAGACUGAGCGCGUACACACGCAGCAGCCUUCCGCAAAUGUUUGUUGAGGGAAUGAGUGAAUGAGGUGUUGACCUACAGAUGCGCUGUGGCUCCUGAAUUGUCCUCUCUGUGUGUGUACUCCUCCCCUUCCUAGCCAAACGUUUAUUCUAAAUCAGCAGAGCCACAGCUGUGCCAUUGAAAAGCCUCACUCGCAAACACAGUC